GUGUCAGCAGCCGCGGUAAUACCGGCAGUCCGAGUGAUGCCCGAUCUUAUUGGGCCUAAAGCGUCCGUAGCUGGCUGAACAAGUCCGUUGGGAAAUCUGUCCGCUUAACGGGCAGGCGUCCAGCGGAAACUGUUCAGCUUGGGACCGGAAGACCUGAGGGGUACGUCUGGGGUAGGAGUGAAAUCCUGUAAUCCUGGACGGACCGCCGGUGGCGAAAGCGCCUCAGGAGAACGGAUCCGACAGUGAGGGGCGAAAGCUAGGGUCUCGAACCGGAUUAGAAACCCUGGUAGUCC
rnacentral:rRNA from 1 species